rnacentral:lncRNA from 13 species
CCCCAAAUCCCAAACUUCUGCUCGUAAAAACAGGGAAAACGACCCCAAAAAUCCCAAAUCCCAACGAUUUGAUCUUAAAAACAGGGAAAGAAUCCCAAAUCCCAAAUUUCUGCUCAUAAAACCAGGGAAAACGACCCCCAAAAUCCCAAAUCCCAGGAAAAUCCAUCAAGGGACAACGAUCCACUCAUAAAACCAGGGAAAACGACCCCAAAUCCCAAACUUCUGCUCGUAAAAACACGGAAAACGACCCCAAAAAUCCCAAAUCCCAACGAUUUGAUCUUAAAAACAGGGAAAGAAUCCCCAAAAUCCCAACUCUCCAAUCCCAAAAAUCCCAAAUGCCAACGAUCCGCUCGUAAAACUGCGGAAAACGACCCCAAAAUAUCCCAAAUCCCAAUGAUUUGGUCUUAAAAACAGGGAAAGAAUCCCAAAUCCCGAAUUUCUGCUCAUAAAAACAGGGAAAACAACCCCAAAUCCCAAAUUUCUGCUCAUAAAAACAGGGAAAAUGACCCCAAAUUAUGCCAAAUCCCCAAAUCCCAACGAUUUGAUCUUAAAAACAGGGAAAAGAAUCCCAAAAAAAUCCCAAAUCCCAAAGAUCCACUCGUAAAACCAGGGAAAACAACCCCAAAUCCCAAACUUCUGCUCAUAAAAACAGGGAAAAUUACCCCAAAAAUCCCAAAUCCCAAUGAUCUGAUCUUAAAACCAGGGAAAACAACCCCAAAUCCCAAACUUCUGCUCAUAAAAACAGGCAAAACGACCCCAAAAAUCCCAAAUCCCGACGAUUUCCCCAUAAAAAACCAGGGGGAACAAUCCCCAAAUCCCCGAGCUCUGUCUAGACAGGAAUCCCAGGAAUAUUUUUAAGGAAAAAAGGGCGGGAUUUGGGUUUUUGAGGAGUCCCUGGAAGCUUUUCCUGAGGAAUUUCAACGCUUGGAAAAAAAGGGAAGAGGGGGAGGAGGGAAAAAACCCGGGAUUUUGGAGGGAUUUGGGGUUUUUGGGGAUUUCCUGGGAGCAGCAU